rnacentral:rRNA from 1 species
CCUACGGUGCGCUGCAGUGGGGAAUAUUGGACAAUGGGGGGAACCCUGAUCCAGCGACGCCGCGUGAGUGAAGAAGUAUUUCGGUAUGUAAAGCUCUAUCAGCAGGGAAGAAAGAAAUGACGGUACCUGACUAAGAAGCCCCGGCUAACUACGUGCCAGCAGCCGCGGUAAUACGUAGGGGGCAAGCGUUAUCCGGAUUUACUGGGUGUAAAGGGAGCGUAGACGGCGAUGCAAGUCUGAAGUGAAAGGCGGGGGCCCAACCCCCGGACUUCUUUGGAAACUGUAUGGCUGGAGUGCAGGAGAGGGAAGUGGAAUUCCUAGUGUAGCGGUGAAAUGCGUAGAUAUUAGGAGGAACACCAGUGGCGAAGGCGGCUUACUGGACUGUAACUGACGUUGAGGCUCGAAAGCGUGGGGAGCAAACAGGAUUAGAUACCCUAGUAGUC